rnacentral:rRNA from 1 species
UACGUAGGGUGCGAGCGUUAAUCGGAAUUACUGGGCGUAAAGCGUGCGCAGGCGGUUUUGUAAGCCAGAUGUGAAAUCCCCGGGCUCAACCUGGGAAUGGCAUUUGGGACUGCAAGGCUCGAGUGCGGCAGAGGAGACUGGAAUUCCUGGUGUAGCAGUGAAAUGCGUAGAUAUCAGGAGGAAUACCGAUGGCGAAGGCAGGUCUCUGGGCUGACACUGACGCUCAUGCACGAAAGCGUGGGGAGCAAAAGGG